rnacentral:rRNA from 1 species
UAUUUUGUUACGGUUUCAUAUUUACCUUGCGUCUAUUAACCAUGGAAUUUAUUGAGAGAACAGUUAAGAAUUUUUCUAAUGUUACGAAAGUAAGCAGAAGUAAACGUAUAUGUUUAGGGCACAGAUAGUGCCAGCAGCCGCGGUCAUACUAUCUCUAGGGAGUAAAUAGUAAAUAGUUAUAUAAUAUUAAUUUCUUUAUACCUUUUUAGUGAAAUAUAUUGUAUUAUAAAAAUUUAUAGUUAAUAAAUAAAUUUAAGUAAGACAUACCACAAACAAGGAUUAGAUACCCUUCUAUGAUGUAUAUAAAAUAAUAUAACUGGGUAUUAAAGUAUUAUUACCUAAACCUAAAAAACAUGGCGGUAAUUUUAAUUCUUAGGGGAACUUACCUAUUAAAUUGAUAACCACCAAGAAAAGUCGCUUUAGGUAAAAUUUUGUAUGCCGUCGUCUAGAAUAAAUAUUAUAUUUAUUCAAAAUUUACAUUUAUAAGAAGACAGAUCUAGGUGCAGAUAAUCCUAAAGGUUAGGCGAGUUACAAUAAGAAUUUAUAAUUCUAUUUGUUCUAGUAUAGAACUUUAAAAUAGUUGAACUUAAAAGUAAGAAGUUUAUUAUACUUAUUAUCUGAAUAUAAAUUGAAAUUGUGC